rnacentral:rRNA from 1 species
GACGAGCGCUGGCGGCGUGCCUAACACAUGCAAGUCGAGCGGAGACAGUGAGUAGCUUGCUACGAGCUGUUUUAGCGGCGGACGGGUGAGUAACGCGUGAGCAACCUUUCCCAGACAGGGGAAUAACACACCGAAAGGUGUACUAAUACCGCAUAAGACCACGGGAUCACAUGGUUCUGGGGUAAAAGAUUUAUCGGUUUGGGGUGGGCUCGCGUCCGAUUAGGUAGUUGGUGAGGUAACGGCCCACCAAGCCGACGAUCGGUAGCCGACCUGAGAGGGUGAUCGGUCACAUUGGGACUGAGACACGGCCCAAACUCCUACGGGAGGCAGCAGUGGGGAAUAUUGGGCAAUGGGGGGAACCCUGACCCAGCAACGCCGCGUGGAGGAAGAAGGUUUUC